AGGCUGCUUCAGUAUUUACUGGAUGUGACAAGCAGAGAGAAGAGCUUUCAGCGGGGCCGCUUGCUGCCCGGCUCAAGUGGUGGGGAGAACUCCUUAACCCGCAGCCUCUCUGACCACCCAGUUGGCAAAGACCUGCAGGCCAUGAGGACUGGUCAAAGACAGUGAGAGGACGUGAAAGGGUAAAUCCCUGUGCCCCGCAGUCCUAUCUCCCGCCCUGACGUCCCUGCACACCGGCCAGAGGGUUAACCGUAAGCGCGUGCCUGUAUGGCCGCUUUACUGAUGCCA